rnacentral:rRNA from 1 species
GAUAACGUAGCGAAAGCUACGCUAAUACCGCAUACGCCCUGAGGGGGAAAGCGGGGGAUCUUCGGACCUCGCGCGAUUGGAGCGGCCGAUGUCGGAUUAGCUAGUUGGUGGGGUAAAGGCCUACCAAGGCGACCAUCCGUAGCUGGUCUGAGAGGAUGAUCAGCCACACUGGGACUGAGACACGGCCCAGACUCCUACGGGAGGCAGCAGUGGGGAAUUUUGGACAAUGGGGGCAACCCUGAUCCAGCCAUGCCGCGUGAGUGAAGAAGGCCUUCGGGUUGUAAAGCUCUUUCAGUUGGGAAGAAACGGUGCGCUCUAACAUAGCGUGCUAAUGACGGUACCGACAGAAGAAGCACCGGCUAACUACGUGCCAGCAGCCGCGGUAAUACGUAGGGUGCGAGCGUUAAUCGGAAUUACUGGGCGUGAAGCGUGCGCAGGCGGUUCGCUAAGACAGGGUGUGAAAUCCCCGGGCUUAACCUGGGAACUGCGCUUGUGGCUGGCGAGCUAGA